rnacentral:misc_RNA from 1 species
CUUGAAUGCUUGUUUUCUGUAAGAAAGAAAUCAAUUUUAGUAAGAGUGAGUAAUCAUUUGGACUAACUCUUGUUUAAUCAAGAAGAUCCAAAGCCCCAUCAAUAUCUCUGUCAAUUCAAGUUGAGAUCUUGGAAGGGAAUUUUCUCUGGAAUCAUCAGUUUCUUUAAUCUUGUAUGAUAUUUGAAGAAGCUAGCUAGUCAACGGUGUUGUUUCAUUAAAUUGGCUCAGUAGCUAGCAAUUUUCAAUAAACAUUUGUAGCAUACAUGUCCAAUUAAUGGAGGAAUUGAAUGUAGUAAGACUAUCACCCUUGAGGUUGAAUGGUCCCGUCCCUGCAAAGUCAACAUUGUCAGGAAGAUCAACUCCUAGAGGAGGAUCUCCUUCCUUCAGGAGAUUGAAUUCUGGAAGAACACCGCGAAGAGAUGGUAAAAGUAGUGUUUUUGGUUCUCAGUGGUUUAGAAGUAACCGCAUUGUACUUUGGUUGCUUCUGAUUACUCUUUGGGCCUAUGGAGGAUUUUAUGUCCAGUCAAGAUGGGCUCAUGGAGACAAUAAGGAAGGUAUUUUUGGAGGAUCUGGAGGUGAUGUUGCCAAUGGAACUUCUCAACCAGAGGAAAAAAAUCAACGAAUUCUAGUUGCGAAUGAGGAGUCUUUAGCAGUCAAGCCUCCAAGUAAUAAAACACAGGGAAAUUCGAUGGACCUGGAUGUAGUCUUGGCCAAACAGGGAAACAGUGUGGUAUCUGACAAGGGUGCAUCUCCUAAGAAGAAGAGCAAGAAAUCUACGCGUGCUUCUCGUAGGAAGACUCGUGGUAAGAAGAAAGUGGUGGCAGAAGUAAAAAGUGACGAUAUUGAAAUUCAAGAAGAGGAAAUACCCAAGCGAAAUACUACCUAUGGCCUGCUAGUUGGUCCAUUUGGGUCAAUAGAGGACAAAAUUUUGGAGUGGAGUCCUGAAAAGCGGACAGGAACCUGUGAUAGAAAAAGUCAGUUUGCACGUCUUGUUUGGUCUAGGAAGUUUGUGCUGAUACUCCAUGAACUCUCCAUGACUGGAGCUCCACUUGCCAUGUUGGAAUUGGCUACGGAGCUUUUGAGCUGUGGGGCCACAGUUUAUGUAGUACCUCUCAGCAAAAGAGGGGGUUUAAUGUCAGAACUAUCUAGAAGAAAGAUCAAAGUGCUAGAAGACAAAUCAGACCUCAGUUUCAAAACAGCCAUGAAAGCAGAUCUUAUUAUUGCUGGUUCUGCAGUGUGUGCAUCAUGGAUAGAACAAUAUGCAGCACGUACUGUGCUAGGUUCAACUCAAAUUACUUGGUGGAUCAUGGAAAACCGGCGGGAAUACUUCGAUCGGGCUAAACUUGCUUUCAACCGAGUGAAAAAACUUAUCUUUCUUUCUGAAUCACAGUCUAAGCGCUGGUUAGCUUGGUGUGAGGAAGAACAUAUAAAGCUCAAAACUCAGCCUGCACUGAUUCCACUUUCUAUUAGUGAUGAACUGGCUUUUGUAGCAGGCAUCCCGUGCUCACUGAGCACUCCACUAUUCAGUCCAGAGAAGAUGCUGGAAAAGAGGCAGCUCCUAAGAGAUUUUGUGAGGAAAGAAAUGGGGCUGACAGACAAUGAUAUGCUUGUCAUGUCCUUGAGUAGUAUAAACCCUGGAAAGGGUCAGUUUCUGCUUCUUGAAACAACACGCUUGCUGAUUGAGGGAGCUCCUCCUCUAUAUGGAUCUGCUGUUAAAAGACGAGAAUAUCAGAAAAGGACAUUGCUUUAUAACUGGAAACAAUUUGGUGAAUGGAAAAAAGAAUCCUCCACCUUGUCAAAUAACCAAGAAACUGAAGCAUUGCAGGUACCUCAGCUUUUCAUUAAGGGGGUUAACUAUACAGCUGGAAUUGAAAAUGAUAGAGGAACUCGGAAGCUUUUCUCCUUGCCUGAAGGAAAGCAGGGAGAAAAGCUUAAGGUUCUUAUUGGCUCAGUCGGAUCCAAGAGCAAUAAGGUGCCUUAUGUUAAAGCACUUCUCAAUUUUCUAAAUCAGCAUUCUAACUUGUCAAACACAGUACUAUGGACUCCAUCAACCACUCGUGUCGCUGCACUUUAUGCUGCUGCAGACGCUUAUGUAAUGAAUUCUCAGGGACUUGGAGAAACAUUUGGGAGAGUGACAAUUGAAGCA